UUUUACAAUCAUUUUGUACAGUUAACACAAAUAUCACAGUGGUCCUGAGGUGACAUACAUCCUCAGCUUAUGAAGAUAACAGGAUUAAGAGAUUAAAGUAAAGACAGGCAUAAGAAAUUAUAAAAGUAUUAUUUGGGAACUGAUAAAUGUCCAUGAAAUUUUCACAAUUCAUGUUCCUUUGCUGUGGCUCCAGCCGGUCCCUCCGUUCGGGGUCCCUGACUUUCCACAACACACAAGAAAAUUUAAAAAAUUUAAAACCAACUAUUCCUCCAAAAAUUAAAAAUAGAAAUAUCAUGUGAUCCAGGAAUUUCACUCUUCAGUAUAUACUCAGAAGAACUGGAAGCAGGGAUGUGAACAUAAAUGUGUACAUCACUGUUCAUAGCAUUAUUCACAGUAGUUAAAAAGGGGAAACAGCCCAAAUGUCCAUCAACAGAUGAAUGGAUGAACAAAAUGGGAUAUUUAAGUUAUGUACAAUGGAACAUUAUUCAGCCAUAGAAAAGAAUGAAAUUCUGAUACGUGCUGCAACAUGGGUGAACCUUAAAAACACUGUGCUAAGUGAAAUAACCCAGACAAAGGGAAAAUAUAAUAUGAUUCCACUUGUAUGAAGUACCUAGACUAGGCAGAUUUGUGAGCGACAGAAAGUGCCACAGACGUUACCAGAGGCUGAGAGUAAGGGGCAAUGGGGAGGGAGGUAUUGUUUAAUGGGUACAGAGCUUCAGUGUGGGAAGAUGAAAAAGUCCUGGAAGAUGAAAGAAAAAAUUCUGGAAAAUUAUAGUAGUGAUAGGUUACCUAAUAUUGUGAAAGUACUUAAUGCUACUGAAUUAUACACUAAAAAAUUGUCAGGCCCACCCUGGCCAGUGGUGUCACCCUGCAUCCUCUCUGACCUGAAGGUGCUGAUUUAUACACGUGGGCUGGGUAUAGCAAAUCCACAUUUGAGUAAGAAAAACAUGAUUUCUGCAACUUGAAAGAACCUUCAUCAUUCUUUCACUCUCUGGGCUGACUGAGAGAAUUUCUUGGGUCCCCAUUUGGGUCCUUGGAGGGAUCAGACUUUUCUAGUUGAGAUCUGGUCCCACCCCUAGAUUCUCAAUCAAGUCCUUUAGCCUUAUUGAUUAAAAUAGAGACAUUUACUAUCACAAAAUGAUGCCCCCAAACAGCCUCAAACCUGACACAUUAGUUUCCCUUUCCUGCCUCUGCCCAAAAUGAAUGUUUUUCUUUCUCUUCCCUUGGGUUCUUCUCUCCCUCCCCUCCUCUUCCCUCCCUCUCUCCCUUCUCUAUUCUUCCCUCUCCCUCUCUAUUUGUCCUUCUCUGCUCCAAGUCCUGCCACAACCCCAGGAUUCAUCAGCCUCCCUGGACACAUCCCAUCCAGCUCCUGACCGCUCACCUCCUUCACUCCUCAUCCUCAGGGCCCUUUCCUCCAUCUGCCUCAGCCCAUGCCAGCGGCCAUGCUGUGCACCUGGAGGGGCCACCCACCUGCCAGGAAACAGCACAUUCAGCCAUGCACCUGACUGCAGCCUCCACUCUAGCAGAUUAGCUCAGUCACCUGUGACACACUGUUCCUCUGGCUCUUUGGGACUUUCAGCCCAUGGACACCUCCAUGCCCAUCCCACAAUCUCUGUUUCUCCACAUCUCUCCCUUUCCAUCUCAAAUCCAUGCUCCAGCACCAAACACUAACUCUUUCCAUUCUAAACUCCCUCUCCCCAUUGUUCUUCCCUUACAGGCACCUGGCAAAACUCCAGUCCUCAACAAAUGCAGCCAAUGGCGUUUGCUAAUGCCAGCAG
rnacentral:lncRNA from 1 species